GUUAGUACGGCACGAUCUUCCAUUGUUGAUUAUCACCUUCAGUCCACUCCCAUAUGCCAAUGAAAGUACCGUCAUGAAUGCUUCCAUCAUGAAAUGCAUCUACAUUCAGGUCAGUGUCAUCAACCAUCCUCAUGGCUCUGUAACCAUCACCCAAGUCCUCGGCAAGAGCCCAAAGGAUGGACUCAUCAAGUACAUCUGGAACAUAAGGAAUAAGCUCCACCUGUAGAAGUAGAAUUUUACUGCAUAUUAGCAAACUGUAGAGCAUCCAGAAAACUGAAAAACAAAUAAAAAUUCCAUUGAAACAAGGAUAGUAUAUGUUUAACUAUACAUUCUGGAUAUAUUUUCUUUGACAGCUUUAGUAUUAAAAAAUUUGACUGAAGCACUGAAGCUCUGUAAGAACCAGAAAGUCAGUCAGAUGAUUGAUGACAAAGUGAGAAAUUUGAAGGACAGAGAACUGGAGAGAGUAACAGCAAACUAACGGCUACUGAUACCAAUUUUAGCAUCAGACUCAGUCAAUGAAGUAGGACUCGAGGAAGAAGAGUAAUAUAGCUAGCUUGAUAAAGGAAAACGAGUGACGAAAAAAAUCAUCUAGGCCUCGUUACUUGACUCACAAAUUACAUGACUCGCACAGUAUCAUUACCAAGACAAGGGAAUGACUUUUAAUUUUCCUACUAACGAAGUGGGACAUUAAAUAAUUUUUUGUACUCUAUCUAUCUCCUUUUACAUAUCACUUUUGGAAGCAAAAAAAUAAUGAUCCCUAUAUAUUUGUCACUCCCUCCUUUUAAUACAAAAUUAAAAAACAAUUCCUAGCAACACCUCAUACUACUAUUUCUAAUAUUUGAUUAAUUCAUAUAUACAAAUAAUUCAACUAAUUUUAUUGCAUCCAUUAGAGUUAAACAAGUAAACAAAUCAUCCAUAUAAUAUUUAUUAAGAUGCAUAAUUUUUUCAGAAGUGGAUGUGUAAUAGGUGAUGAAGGGAGUAUCGUGACAGACAUCAAGAAAUCAAUUGGAAAUUUAAUAGCCAACUGUCAUUCAAAAUUCGAAAAUUGAAACUUAUCUCCAGCAUUGGAGAUGAAAAACUAUCACCGGGUCAAAUACACAUAUUCCUUGUUAAAAAAUAAGAUUAAACAUUAGAAGUUUAGGACAUGAAAAGAUAGAUAAAAAUACCAGAUGACCGGCUCCAACAGAAUGCUUCAUAGCCUGACCAGUAGCUUUAUUAACCAGAGCAAAGCUAGGGAAGCCGUAUUCAUCUGUAUGCCAGUUGCUAUAUCUUUCGUUUUUCACCCAGUGCUGCGACAAAAAAAAAACCAAAAAAGUGUCACAGUUUCAUAGUUUCAGACACCAGAAAGUAUUGUAACAAAAAAAAGUUAAUGAUCAGUCAAUUUAACUAGACUUUCACUGCAGAUUAAUAUAUACUUUCCCCGCUCUUAUUUUAAAAUCUUUAUAAAAGAAGAUUCAGUCAAUCUGAUUAAAGUUUAAUUGCAGUUUUACAUUUUAAUAAUUAUUAUUUAUAUCAGAGGCGGAUCUUAGAAGGGGUAAGAGGGGGCAACUGACCCCCCUUAAUUUUUUUGUUUGUUAAUAUUAUACAUAUUUUUAGGUUGUAAAAUUGAAAUUGACCCCCCUUAAUUUUUUUGUGACCCCUUUUAAUUUUUUUUACAAAAAAAUUGACCCCCCUUAACUUCAUAGUCAGAUCCGCCACUGAUUUAUAUGUUUUAAAACUUUAAAUAAUAUAGUAUGAUAUAUAAUUUUAUCUGUAUAUUAUCUUCUUACUUGAUAUUUAUAAAGUAACAAAAUUUCAAGGUCAAAAUUUAGUCAGUCUGGCGUACUUUUUGUGCAAAAAGACAUUUAAUAAUAAAAUUGGAUGAAGUAAUACCUGGGUUGGGUCCGAUGUGUCAGCCCGAGCAAUAAUGACCUUACCAUCACGGAUUGCAAGGGAACAAUGAGUCUCAGCCUUUGUGUAAACUCUAACAGAUGGCAUCUGGUUUAAAAAAUCCAAAACCUGGUGUGUAGGAACAUCAGGAUGUGGUACCACCUUCCAGAGUUGAUUUUCGCCGUGCAUCCACUCCCACAAACCAAUGAUAGUGCCAUCAUGAAUGCUUCCAUCAUGAAAUGCAUCCACAUUCAGGCAGGUGUUAUUCACCAUCCUCAUUGCUCUGUAAUCGUCACCCAAGUCCUCGGCAAGAGUCCAAAGGACGGUCUCAUCAUGUGCGUCUGGCACAUAAGGGAUAAGCUCCACCUAUAGAAGAUUUUUUUUUUUACGAAUAUUAGCAUACUAUAGAGCACCCAGACUUACAAAAAGCACACAAAAGUUUCAGCAAAAACAAGAUAUAAAUUGUUUAAUUAUAGAUCUAGAAUGAGAUUAGACUGGUGAACACUGAACUUUAUAGCAGAAAAUUCUAAAUGUACUUCACUGAUAUAUUGUUGUGGUUUUGUAAUGUAUCUAUACAGCUGUAAAAAACAAUUACAAAUGUACGUUCAACAAUGUUAGUGCAGGCUUCCAGAAUUCAAGGAUUGAUUAAUUCUAUGAAACAUGAUCGCAGGAGAAUUAGUAUCAGAUGCAGGGGAACUUGUACCGUAUCAGAUGGCACUAAGAACAAUAUCCCCACCUAGAUAAAUGAAGAAGACAGAUCCACUUUGCAGAAUGAAAAAACUUCAUAAUAUGCAAUAAGUUGUGCUGUUUUGUUUCAACAUGUAAAAGAAUUUCAGAGAUAGAAUUUGUUUAACCUGAUUCGUUUCCAGCUCUUAUAGGAAUUGUUUAACCUGAUUAGUUUUCAGCUCUUUUACAUACUCUGUAACUUAAGUAAUGAACCUCUAUAAUAACCAGUCACUCAGUUGAUGAGAUUUUUGCUAAAAGGCGAAGUCAGAGCAUUGAAAAACAGAGUGAGAGAGAGAGGAACAUCGUUCAUCUCAAAGUUACAUGGAGCUCGGACAAGAAUAAGAGGUCAUAGGAAUAGCUUGAUAAACAAUCAGAAGAAUAACACUGUGUUCCCGAGUAAAAGUUUGGAGAGAAAGGGAACGAUUCAGACUUAUUUAUUAUCUCUAAAGUGUUCCCAAGAUCUUGUAAUAAAACAUAGAAAGGAAAAGGGGGAAAUUUAGUCAAUUUCUACCCAAACUUUUCUACUGAUUGAGAGAGAAAGAUAACCUACAAUGAUGAAUGCAUUCAUUAUAUCUGCAUUUGCUUUUCUUUAUUUGAAACUUGAAACAUGAUAAAGAAAAAUCUUAUAUCCGUUUUUGUUUUCAUUUCUAUCAACCUCUAUUCCUUUUGUUUCUCUCCUUCAUCAAAACACAACGUAUGAGAAAUUUUAUAAAGCACAAGAAGUUUGUUCUAUCAUUCUCUUUGGCCUCAAGACUAGAAAAUUAUAUGACUACUUAUAAAAUAUAAACCCAGACUACUAUCAGGAUUUUACAUUAAUUUUUUAUUUCAUCUCAGUAGCAGUCAUCAAGAAUAUAUUUAAGAAGAUAAUUUUACCUUAUAGAAAUCCAAACUUUAAAACUUAUAUCUAGUAUUGGACAUGAUAUUCCAUCACUCCAGGACAUAAAUAUUCCUCUGGAAAUAAAAUAAAUAUAUAGAAUAAGAACAAGUAAAUAAACAUACAGGAUGAGAGGCUCCUGCGGGCUUCAUAGCUUGACCAGUAGCUUUAUUAACCAGAGCAAAGCUAUGGAAGCCAUAUUCAUCUUUAACUUCUGUGCUAUAUUUCUCAACUUUCAGCCAGUGCUGCAAUCACAGAAAACCACAAAGGUCUUAUGAUAUCAAAUAGUUUGAGACCCCAUAAGUUACUAAUAACUGGUUAAUUAUCAGAGUCAUCAUCAUAUGUUCAACCAAAUACUAACACAAAUGAUGUUUUGAACUGAUGAAGUAUAUCAAUAUCCACUUUUCAUGUUUUACUUAACGGCAGUUAUGGUAUAUACAUGAUAUUUCAAAUUAUUAUAGUGUGACUUUCUUAAAAGGAAAUACCUGAGUUGGGUCGGAAAUGUUAGCCCGAGCAAGAAUGACCUUACUAUCACGGAUAGCAAGGGAACAAUUAGUCUCAGCCUUUGUGUAAACUCGAACAGAUGGCAUCCAGCUCAAACGAUCCCAGGCCAGGGGCUUAGGCACAUCCUGAGCCGGUACCAUCUUCCAUUGUUGAUUAUCACCACCAGCCCACUCACCUAUGCCAAUGAAAGUCCCGUCAUGAAUGCUUCCAUCAUGAAAUGCAUCUACAUUCAGGCGAAUGUCAUUAACCAUCCUCAUGGCUCUGUAACCAUCCCCCAAGUCCUCGGCGAGAGCCCACAGGAUGGACUCAUCAAGUACAUCUGGAACAUA
rnacentral:lncRNA from 1 species